AACUCAACAGGAGUUUUGCCGUUGAUUUCACUGGGGGAAGAACAGGCACUUUACUAGAUUAUGGACCCAAGCCUUUGCAUCAAGUUCAGACUGAAUCUUUGCUGAGGAUUGAAGAGGACAGAGUCUCUGAUGCAAAACACUGCCCAGUAUGCACCAGCAGUGAGGCUCCCCCACUAACAGCUGAAAUCACUGAGAGGUGUGUUAAGUGAUGAGAUCUGAAGACAUCCCAGUGGAUUGGCAAUUGGCUGGCAGGGUGGCUGGCAAAGCAACCAGUGGAGAGGACUGGAGCAGAGCCCCACAGAAAGACAACUGAAUAUGCUGCACCAACAUCGGCCUCAAGACUUCAUGGGACUUUAUUUGUGCACACACAUCCAGAGCCCCACUAAAAAGUGCCUUCUUAGGUCCUUUAUUCAAUGCCCCGCUGUGUUCAUUCAAACAUCCAGCAAAGAGUGUCCAGUAAACAGGCCAGGUGCUCUCUGACUUUUGGCAGUACUUCCCUGUCCUGCACUGGAGAGAUUGCAGAGCUGUCGGCUGGCUAACUGUUGCACUGGGGGGAAAGGCAGUACCCAGUAAGGAGCCAACAAUGUAAACAAAAACAGUUUUCCAA